CAUCACCUUUCCCAGAAGAGUGGAUUUUGGUGGGCUCUGCUGUCACCCAUCUCUUCAGAGUGUGCUUAAGGCACCCAAACUGCUGGUACCAAGGCGAGCACAGCUCUACCUCACCCGGAAUUUUACUCUCAGCCCCAUUAUUGGUGUUCCGACACGUGUUGGCUGGACAGUUGCUGUAGGACAGAUCAAGCAGUUCUUGUCUGAAAAUCUGGAGUCCAGUGUAACCAAGUGGAAAGUGAAGAUAUUUGGUGACGUAGAAAUAUUUUUAACAGGGAAAUGCAGC
rnacentral:lncRNA from 1 species